GAUGAACGCUGGCGGCGUGCCUAAUACAUGCAAGUCGAGCGAACAGACGAGGAGCUUGCUCCUUCGACGUUAGCGGCGGACGGGUGAGUAACACGUAGGUAACCUACCUAUAAGACUAGGAUAACUUCGGGAAACCGGAGCUAAUACCGGAUAAUAUUUCGAACCGCAUGGUUCGAUAGUGAAAGAUGGCUUUGCUAUCACUUAUAGAUGGACCUGCGCCGUAUUAGCUAGUUGGUAAGGUAACGGCUUACCAAGGCAACGAUACGUAGCCGACCUGAGAGGGUGAUCGGCCACACUGGAACUGAGACACGGUCCAGACUCCUACGGGAGGCAGCAGUAGGGAAUCUUCCGCAAUGGGCGAAAGCCUGACGGAGCAACGCCGCGUGAGUGAUGAAGGUCUUCGGAUCGUAAAACUCUGUUAUUAGGGAAGAACAAACGUGUAAGUAACUGUGCACGUCUUGACGGUACCUAAUCAGAAAGCCACGGCUAACUACGUG
rnacentral:rRNA from 1 species